UACGAAGGGGGCUAGCGUUGCUCGGAAUCACUGGGCGUAAAGGGCGCGUAGGCGGUCACGCACGUCCGUUGUGAAAUCGCUCGGCUCAACUGGGCGGGGUCAGCGGAUACGGCGUGGCUGGAGCAAGCUAGGGGGCAAUGGAAUUCCCGGUGUAGUGGUGGAAUGCGUAGAUAUCGGGAGGAACACCAGUGGCGAAGGCGGUUGCCUGGAGCUUUGCUGACGCUGAUGCGCGAAGCGUCGGGGAGCGAUCCGG
rnacentral:rRNA from 1 species